GACCGAACCGACUAAUGUUGAAAAAUUAGCGGAUGACUUGUGGCUGGGGGUGAAAGGCCAAUCAAACCGGGAGAUAGCUGGUUCUCCCCGAAAGCUAUUUAGGUAGCGCCUCGUGAAUUCAUCUCCGGGGGUAGAGCACUGUUUCGGCAAGGGGGUCAUCCCGACUUACCAACCCGAUGCAAACUGCGAAUACCGGAGAAUGUUAUCACGGGAGACACACGGCGGGUGCUAACGUCCGUCGUGAAGAGGGAAACAACCCAGACCGCCAGCUAAGGUCCCAAAGUCAUGGUUAAGUGGGAAACGAUGUGGGAAGGCCCAGACAGCCAGGAUGUUGGCUUAGAAGCAGCCAUCAUUUAAAGAAAGCGUAAUAGCUCACUGGUCGAGUCGGCCUGCGCGGAAGAUGUAACGGGGCUAAACCAUGCACCGAAGCUGCGGCAGCGACACUGUGUGUUGUUGGGUAGGGGAGCGUUCUGUAAGCCUGUGAAGGUGUGCUGUGAAGCAUGCUGGAGGUAUCAGAAGUGCGAAUGCUGACAUAAGUAACGAUAAAGCGGGUGAAAAGCCCGCUCGCCGGAAGACCAAGGGUUCCUGUCCAACGUUAAUCGGGGCAGGGUGAGUCGACCCCUAAGGCGAGGCCGAAAGGCGUAGUCGAUGGGAAACAGGUUAAUAUUCCUGUACUUGGUGUUACUGCGAAGGGGGGACGGAGAAGGCUAUGUUGGCCGGGCGACGGUUGUCCCGGUUUAAGCGUGUAGGCUGGUUUUCCAGGCAAAUCCGGAGAAUCAAGGCUGAGGCGUGAUGACGAGGCACUACGGUGCUGAAGCAACAAAUGCCCUGCUUCCAGGAAAAGCCUCUAAGCAUCAGGUAACAUCAAAUCGUACCCCAAACCGACACAGGUGGUCAGGUAGAGAAUACCAAGGCGCUUGAGAGAACUCGGGUGAAGGAACUAGGCAAAAUGGUGCCGUAACUUCGGGAGAAGGCACGCUGAUAUGUAGGUGAAGCGACUUGCUCGUGGAGCUGAAAUCAGUCGAAGAUACCAGCUGGCUGCAACUGUUUAUUAAAAACACAGCACUGUGCAAACACGAAAGUGGACGUAUACGGUGUGACGCCUGCCCGGUGCCGGAAGGUUAAUUGAUGGGGUCAGCGCAAGCGAAGCUCUUGAUCGAAGCCCCGGUAAACGGCGGCCGUAACUAUAACGGUCCUAAGGUAGCGAAAUUCCUUGUCGGGUAAGUUCCGACCUGCACGAAUGGCGUAAUGAUGGCCAGGCUGUCUCCACCCGAGACUCAGUGAAAUUGAACUCGCUGUGAAGAUGCAGUGUACCCGCGGCAAGACGGAAAGACCCCGUGAACCUUUACUAUAGCUUGACACUGAACACUGGUCCUUGAUGUGUAGGAUAGGUGGGAGGCUUUGAAGUGUGGACGCCAGUCUGCAUGGAGCCGUCCUUGAAAUACCACCCUUUAAUGGCUGGUGUUCUAACGUGGGCCCGUAAUCCGGGUUGCGGACAGUGUCUGGUGGGUAGUUUGACUGGGGCGGUCUCCUCCUAAAGAGUAACGGAGGAGCACGAAGGUUGGCUAAUCCUGGUCGGACAUCAGGAGGUUAGUGCAAUGGCAUAAGCCAGCUUGACUGCGAGCGUGACGGCGCGAGCAGGUGCGAAAGCAGGUCAUAGUGAUCCGGUGGUUCUGAAUGGAAGGGCCAUCGCUCAACGGAUAAAAGGUACUCCGGGGAUAACAGGCUGAUACCGCCCAAGAGUUCAUAUCGACGGCGGUGUUUGGCACCUCGAUGUCGGCUCAUCACAUCCUGGGGCUGAAGUAGGUCCCAAGGGUAUGGCUGUUCGCCAUUUAAAGUGGUACGCGAGCUGGGUUUAGAACGUCGUGAGACAGUUCGGUCCCUAUCUGCCGUGGGCGCUGGAGAACUGAGGGGGGCUGCUCCUAGUACGAGAGGACCGGAGUGGACGCAUCACUGGUGUUCGGGUUGUCAUGCCAAUGGCACUGCCCGGUAGCUAAAUGCGGAAGAGAUAAGUGCUGAAAGCAUCUAAGCACGAAACUUGCCCCGAGAUGAGUUCUCCCUGAGACUUUAAGUCUCCUGAAGGAACGUUGAAGACGACGACGUUGAUAGGCCGGGUGUGUAAGCGCAGCGAUGCGUUGAGCUAACCGGUACUAAUGAACCGUGAGGCUUAACCUUACAACGCCGAAG
rnacentral:rRNA from 1 species